AGCCAGGGCUGAGGGUGGGGACAGUGGCCCUUGCAGGCAUCUGUGCAGAGGUCAGGUGAGGACAAAUGAAGCUUGGACAAAGUAACAGGGUAGAAUUUUACUUAGACGUGAGCAAACACAUAAUGAAACUAGAGUGCAUUCAUGCAUCUGCAAGAGGGUAAUUCGGUGCAAAACUGACAUUGAAACUUUCCUGACUGGUGCCUUGAAGGCGCCUCCAGAGGCUGACACCUUGGGCCGUGCCCUCUGUCCUCCCUUCUGCGUCCCUCUGGGACAGACUCGAACCGUGGCUACCUCGUAUGAAGGGCAUUCUGGGGGAUGGAGUGGAUGCUGUGGUGCACCCAGAGCCCCUUUAUCAGGUCAAGUGCAUCCAGCCGGUUGCUAACACAGCGGCCCUCUCUUCGGGGAAAAUUACUCUCAGCCAAUGGACGGCUGGUGUUGACUCCCCUCCCCCAGCCCCGUUUCCUGGAGGCCAAUGACGGUGGGGGUCAGGGCGGGGCGGGGAUGAGGUAAUAAAAAGCUGACUCUUUGCCCCCAGGCCUAGAUUUGCCCUGCUGUUCAUGCUCCAGAGUCUCCUGGGGGUCAGCGCUCACCCUGACCUGGCUUUUUCUCCUGGCCGAACCUGCCUCUGCUCUCUUACUCCCACAGGUGUUCCUGACCAUCUCAGGAGGUCCAGAGCCUGGAGAAGUGCCUUGAGGAUGAGAACUGCAGCCCAGAGACAGGAAGUGCCUUGUGAGUUGACCCAAACCAGGCUGUCACCCAUGCAAGGCAGGUUCUCACAUGUCCCUUGGCUUGUUGCUGCGUGUUCUCGGGGAAGUUGCUGCACCUCUCCAGGCUCGAUUUUUCCUUUCCUGUAGGAUGAAGGCUUUGGAUUGGAUGCCCAAACAGUGUAGGGGAAUGCGCUGGAGAGGCCCGGGCAUAAAUCCUGGCUGUGUGAUCUAGGAGAGUCAUGUCAGCCUCGAAACCUCAAGCAGCAUCCCCCUCACCACCGCCAUCACCGCGAGUCCCCCACGGGCUUGCUGUGCGGAAACCCCAUCAUUCUUAGUUGUGUUACUUGGACAGACUCAUCUGUUCCUGAGGACAACCCUGGGAAGCGAGUCCUAUCCUUCUCCCCAGUUUAUAGAGGAGGCAGCUGGAGGCCCGCAGAACUCAAGAAACUUAUCCAAGGUCAUGAACUUUUUAGGGAUGUCCCAGGGAAGGAUUCAAUGUCCACCGUGUCCCCAGGCGGCUGGCAGAUAGUGGGCCAGGCGCUCCGUAAACGUCAGUCCCCCACCUCCAAUCUAGUCUGUACCUUCCAGGAGUCUGUCACCACAGCCAAGGCUCACAGGAAUCAGGAGACUUUUACACACCAUAUGGCUAUAGAAUUAAUAAAGUGUUGUAAUCAAAGAUUGGAAAAGAGAUUAGGGGACUCAGCUCCUGGAGCAGAACUAUGAAAAAAGGAAGAAGCCGCUCAGCUCUGCAAUAGAGGAGUGGGAAUGGGGCCCAGGCCUCCUCUUAGAUGCUGGGCAAACACCAGGCAAGGGAGCAUCCCUAACCAGCUCAAUGUGUCUGCUGUCGGCAGUAAAGACGAGGCUUAUUGGCGCUAUGGUAACGGGAGAACGGAGGAGGAACAAAAGGACCUCUUUGGAGGGAGGUAAGGAGGCAGGUUUAUUACCUCAGCAAAGAGGGCUUCUUGGAGACCCCCGUCCUGAUAACAGAAGACAGAGCCCCCCUCACCUAGCCUCGGGGUUGCCAUCCUCCCCAACCUCUGGCCUUUGCUCCUCAUCCCUGAACUUCUGGUGACACAUCUACCCCCUGUCCCAUCAGCAGAAAUCAGAAUGGGCUUCCUGACUUCGCUGUCCUCCAGUGCAACCUAGAGACCGGCGCUUCAGUGAGGGGGAGGGGUCCUAGAAUGUUCCUCAGCCGGCUGCAAGUCAAGGAGCUAGUGGUCACGGACACUGGCUCUGCAGUUUGCAGGGACUGUGUGACCUUGAGCAAGUGACUUGGCAUCUCCGAACCUACAGAAAAAUUGGGAUGACCGUGAUCCCACUACACAGAGCAGUUACGAAGAUUAGUGAGCUAAUGCACACGUCCUAGCAUCAGGGAGGGCCUGGGUCAGUGGCAGCUUAGCCUCCUACAUACUGAGCCGUAAGUGACCCGCUGGUGUAGGCUGUGUACACAACCUAGAAACUGCCUGAGGAGGGGUGAUCCACUCCUCCUGGGCCACCUUAAAACCAGUGUGACUUACCUUCCUCUCCAGAAGGAGCAGAAAGGAGGCUGGCCCUGGCUCCAGAUGCAGCCAAUCCAGAACUGCUAAUAGAGUUUCUUGCCCCCGCCCUGGGCUGCCCUCUGUGCAGGGCUGGCUGGACCUGCCAGCCUCGGGUCGGGGGGGGUGUGUUAAUUUAGGAUCAUUCCUGCUCCCCAUCUACACCCACCUGGAGGAGUCCAAAGCCCCAAAUCUCAGCCUCUCAGUAGGAGAAGGAGGGGAGACAGAAUCUGAACAAGUUCCAGCUUGAAUUCCUUCCUCUCCAGGGACAGUUGGCCAAAGGGACAGGGGUGAGGCCUGCUUCCUGUAACUCCACCUACCAAAGCCUUGGUCUCACAUCUACACCUCAUUAAUCCCUGUACUUUACCAAGAGGUGGGAGGACAAACCAGCAAGAGCAGGGCCUCUGCAGCCAGGCUGCCUGGGCUUACCAGUGCUUACCAGUGCUUACCAGCUCCGCAACCUUGGACAAAUUGCUUACCCUCUCUGUGCCUCUGUUUCCUCAUCUAUAAAUUGGAGAUGAUAAUAGAAGUCAGUUCCCAGUGUGCUGUUGUAAGGAUUAGAUACUAAUAGGGACAAAGAUUUCAAACAAUUCCGGGCACAUGGUAAAUGUCAAUUGUCAUGAUCAGCUGCUGGUCCAUCUGGUGUCACUGUGGGCCCUGGCGAUGGUGGGAUGUCUAGAUAUUAAAAAUGGGGCAGGAGCUCCCAUCAUGGCUCAGUGGUUAAUGAAUCCGAUUAGGAACCAUGAGGUUGCAGGUUCGAUC